GAUGAACGCUGGCGGCGUGCUUAACACAUGCAAGUCGAACGGAAAGGCCACAGCUUGCUGUGGUACUCGAGUGGCGAACGGGUGAGUAACACGUGGGUGAUCUGCCCUGUACCUCGGGAUAAGCUUGGGAAACUGGGUCUAAUACCGGAUAGGAAUCACAUGUGGGCGUGUGGUUGGAAAGCUUUUGCGGUAUGGGAUGAGCUCGCGGCCUAUCAGCUUGUUGGUGGGGUAAUGGCCUACCAAGGCGUCGACGGGUAGCCGGCCUGGGAGGGUGUACGGCCCAAUGGUGACGCGGGAGCGACCCGGACGCGAGCGGGGGGCAGGGGUGGGGGGUUGUGCGAGAUGGGCGGGAGCAGUGAGCAGGGGCGGCGGGUGGGGAAAGACGGCCUUGGGGGUAGAAAAACCUUUCGAGAGAGAAGGAGCGAAAGUACCGGACCCUAGAAAAGAGGCACCGGUAACCUAGGU
rnacentral:rRNA from 1 species